CAGCCGCGCCGCCUUCGUGAGGGGCGAGUCGGGAUCGUGUCAUCCGCCCUGGGCUGUCACCCGCCCCAGGCUGACGCGUGGGCCAAACGCGAUCGUGUCACCCGCCCGGAGUGACCUCCUGAGCCGAGAGCGGCCCCGCGUUCCCUGCGCACGGCCCGGGAGGCGCCGCUCCAUCCCAACAUGGCGGGUGCUGCCGCUUCGUAGCCCGCCCGGCUGUCAGCACUGCCGCGGGCACGGACGGGCCGGGGAGGUCACGGGUGAAGAGCGGCUGUCGUGGUGCAGCAUUACCUAUGCUUAAGGUGUACUUAGGCUCAGAGCUGUUCCUGCCCAAAGCCCAACAUCCUCCAGUUCCUUGACCUGCCAGCGAGGUGUGAGGUGUGAGCUGUUCCUCCGGAGCAGCUCCUUCCUGCCCGGCUCGCAGCCUAGGCUCUGCAUCCAGCCCUCACAGCACAUCAAACCCCACCACACGCCUGCUUUUCAUCUUGCUUAGUUCACUACAUGAUAACUAAAAUGUACGAGUACUUUUAUUUGUUUGAUCUUUGUUUUGUUCCAGAAAAUACUGUAUUUGUUUCAUAGGAAGAGGUUAGCCUCAUUUGAUCAGAAUUUACGGAUGUCUGAGCCAGGAUCCUGUCUGCUAUAGCACUCUGCCUCAGGCAUUCCAGAGAAAAGUUUCAGCACCUUCCACUAAGGAGAUGCAUUUAUUCUGUCUCUUUCCUAUUUCACCAGAAGAACUUACUUAAAUUUUCCCUCCACCAGCCUCUUUUACUACAAUUUGAACUGUUGUUUUUUUUCUUAGCUGAUUCAAUUUUAUGACCAUUUCCAUAUUGCCUGUUGUUACUGAAGCAUACAGGAUGGCAUUAAACACAUCAGUGUUCAGGUCAGCCUAAGAGUGGACUAAGCAACUUGAAUAAUAACUGCUACAGGCAGCAUCUGCUGUUUUUUGGCUGUUCUUCAGGAUACAUACUUUAAUUUUUGUUACUGAUUCUACUUUGCCUUACAGAGGUUAAAAUUGUAGUAAUGACAUGAUGGUAUUUACAUAACUAUUUCCCCUCCUAGUGUUCUCCAGAACCAAUAAAGACUCAGAGUGGACUUGGA